rnacentral:tRNA from 1 species
AGCCCCGUCGUAUAGUGGCCAAGUAUUCUAGACUCUGACUCUGGAGACAGGAGUUCGAAUCUCCUCGGGGCUA